rnacentral:rRNA from 1 species
AUUGAACGCUGGCGGCAGGCCUAACACAUGCAAGUCGCACGAGUGGCGGACGGGUGAGUAAUGUCUGGGAAACUGCCUGAUGGAGGGGGAUAACUACUGGAAACGGUAGCUAAUACCGCAUACCAUCGGAUGAGCCCAGAUGGGAUUAGCUAGUAGGUGGGGUAAAGGCUCACCUAGGCGACGAUCCCUAGCUGGUAGGAGAGGCUGACCAGACACACUGGAACUGAGACACGGUCCAGACGCCUACGCGAGGCAGCAGUUGGGAAUAUUGCACAAUGGGCGCAAGCCUGAUGCAGCCAUGCCGCGUGGAGGAAGAAGGUCUUCGGGUUGGAAAGUACUUUCAGCGGGGAGGCGAUACCCGCAGAAGAAGCACCGGCGAACUCCGUGCCAGCAGCCGCGGUAAUUC